rnacentral:rRNA from 1 species
UACAGAGGUCUCAAGCGUUGUUCGGAUUCAUUGGGCGUAAAGGGCGCGUAGGCGGCCACCGCAAGUCGGUUGUGAAAUCUCCGGGCCUAACCCGGAAAGGUCAAUCGAUACUGCGGGGCUAGAGUGCAGAAGGGGCAACUGGAAUUCUCGGUGUAGCGGUGAAAUGCGUAGAGAUCGGGAAGAACAUCAGUGGCGAAGGCGGCCUGCUGGGCUGUUGCUGACGCUGAGGCGCGACAGCGUGGGGAGCAAACAGG